AAGACCACCUAAACAAGGCUGCUAACCUUAUUAUAAUGAGAUCAUUUGGUCUUU
rnacentral:tRNA from 1 species